GUUCUUUUCUCUGAAUGGGUCCCUGGUUUGGUCUCCACAGCUGCCAGUCUUGCUGUUGAGUCUAUGCUAGGUGAUUGUAGCUUACACUUUUUGUUCCUUGUCUUUGCAAAUGUUUCAUGGAAGGGCAGUAGUGAACAGAUCUGCUCUUUGUGCCAGACCAUCCACAGGAAAAUCCUCUCACUGCUGCUUGGCCAGCCUCUGGAACACAAGAUGUGUAAUGUCUUCCUUGCCUAUCUUCAAUCUGUGCUGCAACGCAAAAUUAAUCUGCUGCCAAUUCAGCCAAGUGUAUCAGCAAUGAAAUGUGUACUUAGUAAAUAAAACCUGCUCCAGACUAUUGUACCUAAAAUAUUCUUUCCAGGGUUGUUUUUUUUUAAUGUACCAUCUUGUUUUAAUAGAUUGGUUGCUGUCAUUUUUAUGGACCUCUUACUCUGACUUGUCACUUUUGCU